GUGGACCUAAUCAAGUCCAACUAGGGCAGUGCUUCUCAAUUAUUUUCUGUUACGCCCCCCCUAGCAAGAAGAAAACUAUUCGCGCCCCCCACUCCCCACCGUGACUAUCCAUCUCUGCAUAACAUUUUAUCCUUAUUAACAUUAAAGAAAAAAAGAAAGACAUAUGGUCAAACUUACAAAGAAUAACUUUAUCAAAUCGUGUUUUAAGUCUGCAACAGAAAAGAUUUUAAGUGCAUCAAUGCCUGAAAU